rnacentral:rRNA from 1 species
UGGGGAAUAUUGCACAAUGGGCGCAAGCCUGAUGCAGCCAUGCCGCGUGUAUGAAGAAGGCCUUCGGGUUGUAAAGUACUUUCAGCGGGGAGGAAGGCGAUAAGGUUAAUAACCUUGUCGAUUGACGUUACCCGCAGAAGAAGCACCGGCUAACUCCGUGCCAGCAGCCGCGGUAAUACGGAGGGUGCAAGCGUUAAUCGGAAUUACUGGGCGUAAAGCGCACGCAGGCGGGCUGUCAAGUCGGAUGUGAAAUCCCCGGGCUCAGCCUGGGAACUGCAUUCGAAAGUGGCAGGCUAGAGUCUUGUAGAGGGGGGUAGAAUUCCAGGUGUAGCGGUGAAAUGCGUAGAGAUCUGGAGGAAUACCGGUGGCGAAGGCGGCCCCCUGGACAAAGACUGACGCUCAGGUGCGAAAGCGUGGGGAGCAAACA